AGCAGAGGGUACUAAAUCAGGAAAAAUAAUUCCUGAUUCUUGGAGUCAUUCAAAAGACUUGGCCAUUACUGGGUCUUUUUUUAACUUCAUUUUCACCUCCAGGUUUGCAGGAUUCACAUCAACAGUUCUGCUCAUUUCCUCACAUAGUCUACAGCAUCUACAUACCUCAUUUUCUGCCAUGAAGUUGUUUAAAUUAUGGAGUCUAAAAUUCUUGUGGACUCUGAAGCCUCCUAACAGGAAUUUCCAUGGACACUCCAGGCUGCUUGCCUCUGAUGUCCAUUCCCAGUAUGAGCCCAUCAGGCGGGGCAAACAGGAACUACCAAAGUACUUUAACUAUGCAAGUGAUGUUCUGGACAAAUGGGCUGAGAUUGAAAAGGCUGGAAAGAGACCACCAAACCCUGCGUUUUGGUGGAUAAACGGAAAAGGAGAAGAAGUGAAGUGGAGCUUUGAGGAGCUGGGGUUCCUGUCUCGGAAAGUGGCCAA